rnacentral:misc_RNA from 1 species
UGCCUUGUGCUUCGGGGGGACUGAUCCAGUGAAGGCACGACCUCAGUAUACAAGUCUCGCCGCAACCCUUUCGCAGAACUCGGCAUCCGUUGCAGCUCAUCUCCACCGACGGAUUGGCCUCCAAGGAAAAGGUCAAAAAAAUUCAAUAGAUUUUGAUAUAUGAUCGUUAAAUAGGGGCGGAGAUUUCUUGAGAGUUAAGCAAGUGAAGCGAGUGAAAG